rnacentral:rRNA from 1 species
AUUGAACGCUGGCGGCAGGCUUAAUACAUGCAAGUCGAGGGGCAGCAGCUUUAUAGCAAUAUAGAGGCUGGCGACCGGCAAACGGGUGCGGAACACGUACACAACCCUCCUUUAAGAGGGGGAUAGCCCAUAGAAAUGUGGAUUAAUACCCCGUAACAUAUCGGUGUGGCAUCACACUGUUAUUAUAGUUUCGACGCUUGAAGAUGGGUGUGCGGCUGAUUAGGUAGUUGGCGGGGUAAAGGCCCACCAAGCCUUCGAUCAGUAGCUGAUGUGAGAGCAUGAUCAGCCACACGGGCACUGAGACACGGGCCCGACUCCUACGGGAGGCAGCAGUAAGGAAUGUUGGUCAAUGGACGCAAGUCUGAACCAGCCAUGCCGCGUGAAGGAUGAAGGUCCUCUGGAUUGUAAACUUCUUUUAUAGGGGGCGAAAAAAGGGAAUUCUUUCUCACUUGACAGUACCCUAUGAAUAAGCACCGGCUAACUCCGUGCCAGCCGCCGCGGUAA